UAAGACGAACCGUGCAAACGUUAUUCGGAAUCACUGGGCUUAAAGGGCGCGUAGGCGGGUAAUCAAGUCAAUGGUGAAAGCCUCCAGCUUAACUGGAGAAGUGCCUUUGAUACUGAUUGUCUAGAGUGAGGUAGGGGCAUGUGGAACUUCCGGUGGAGCGGUGAAAUGCGUAGAUAUCGGAAGGAACGCCAGUGGCGAAAGCGAUGUGCUGGACCUUUUCUGACGCUGAGGCGCGAAAGCUAGGGGAUCAAACGGG
rnacentral:rRNA from 1 species